rnacentral:lncRNA from 1 species
AUGGUGUUAAAAAGUCUUAAAGAACCUUUGCCUUGGGAUCCUCAGGAGUUAAACCUACUGGAUAGUCGACCAUCAAAUGGUUCAGGAUGUGUCUUUUUUGGAUCGUACAAUUUAACAGAAAAGAAAAGACGUACCUGGUUAACACCUCACAAAAAUUACAACACGUCCCAGUAUUGUUCUCCUGAUCGCGUUUAUGGAUGGGGUUCAGGCCACAUUCACCUUAAUUAUUCCUAUGCUACCUCCUUGCCACAUCAAAUAUACCUUAUCUGUGGUGAUAGAGCGUGGCAAGGCAUCCCCAAAGAAGCUCAUGGGGGAGCUUGUUAUCUUGGAAAACUUGCUCUCCUAGCACCUUCUAAAGAGCAAUGGCAAACCAUACUGUAUGGCAAAACACAAAGAGCUCGUAGAAGUCUCGAACAAUUGUCCUCAGACUGUUCUGAUGAGGUAAGCUUGUGGGGAACCACAGCUCAAGUGUUUGCUGCCAUAAUUCCCCAAAUCGCAGCAGAGGAAGCGUUGACCCAAUUACAACACCUUGCGUGUUGGACUGCUAAACAAGCUAAUGUCACCACUAAUGUACUUUCCCAAUUGGCACAAGAUAUGAGCAGCAUGCGCAAGGCUGUGCUCCAAAAUCGAGCUGCCAUCGAUUACUUGCUAUUGGUACAAGGAAAAGGUUGUGAGGAAUACCAAGGACUCUGCUGUUUUAAUCUCUCAGAUCACUCAGAGUCCAUCCAGGAGCAAUUGAAGUGGUUGAAAGAACAUACAAAAAGGAUCACUGUGAGCACAAAUCCUUUGGACGAUUGGUUACUAUCAUUAGGUUUAUCUGCAUGGGUCAAGGAUGUUUUGAAAUGGAUAUGUAUCAUUGUAUUAAUUUUUGGAAUUGUACUCUGUAUGGCUCCUUGUAUUAUUCAGUGCUUUGCUAGCAGAAUUCAUAGUAUGGCUGAUGCAGUUUUUGAUAAGAGAGGGGGAGAUGUUGCGGGAUUAACAGGCGCUGUAAUGUGGAAGCCAUUCUUCAAGAAGAUGUCGUGA